rnacentral:lncRNA from 1 species
CAUUUCUGAAGGUUAAAUAUAGCAGGAUGUCAUUUUGAUAAAGUUAAGAAAUUAAUUAUCAUAAGAACUUUUAAAAAGGUUUCUAGAAACUUUCAUGCUAAAAUAGUAUUUUGCAAAAGCAUCAGAAUGAUAAACACAAAUUUCAGGAGAGUCAUUACCUCAGAUGGCAAACAGCAGGAGUUUGGGUAGGGAAGGAACACAGGGGAAGACGUUAAAGUGGCAAUUGGAUGUAAAAUUAAUGUGGCCUCUGGGAAAUUUCUAGUAAAUAGAAUAUUCAAUUUAGCUUUCUUUUUUUCUAUCUAAUUUGCUUAUAGUUCAUAAUAGCAAUAUAAAAACUUUCAAGGAAAUAAAAAACCAGUUAUCCCACUAUGAAACAAAAUACUUAAUUUUCUUAAUUUUUCCAUGUUUUUUUCAUUAUGUCCGUCAUAUGUCAAUAGAUAUUUUUUAACAGUUUAAUUAUGUCAGUAAUUUAUUGCACAUUUUCUCUCUCUUUAUAAUUGGCUUUUGGAUAUAAACUGAGCGCCACAACCUCUGAUGAUUUAUAGUCACAGAUGCUCUAGAGGAUUAAUGCAGUAUAUCAUGCUGUGCGUCAAAUUUCUUGGAAGAAAUCUACGAGGAAAUCACUGAGUAUUAUUAGGGGAUCAAUCAUGUGACUGAGUCUAGCUUUUAGCACACUGUUACUGCAUCAGUCAAUUGAAGAAAUAAAA